rnacentral:rRNA from 1 species
GAUGAACGCUGGCGGCGUGCCUAAUACAUGCAAGUCGAGCGCAGGAAGCCGUCUGAACCCUUCGGGGGGACGACGGUGGAAUGAGCGGCGGACGGGUGAGUAACACGUAAAGAACCUGCCCAUAGGUCUGGGAUAACCACGAGAAAUCGGGGCUAAUACCGGAUGUGUCAUCGGACCGCACGGUCCGCUGAUAAAAGGCCGUCCGGCUGCGCCCAUGGAUGGCUUUCCGGUGCAUCAGCUAGUUGGUGGGGUAACGGCCCACCAAGGCGACGAUGCAUAGCCGACCUGAGAAGGUGAUCGGCCACACUGGGACUGAGACACGGCCCAGACUCCUACGGGAGGCAGCAGUAGGGAAUCUUCCACAAUGGACGAAAGUCUGAUGGAGCAACGCCGCGUGAACGAUGAAGGCUUUCGGGUCGUAAAGUUCUGUUGUAAGGGAAGAACAAGUGCCGCAGGCAAUGGCGGCACCUUGACGGUACCUUGCGAGAAAGCCACGGCUAACUACGUGCCAGCAGCCGCCGCAG